AACGUAGGGCGCAAGCGUUGUCCGGAAUUAUUGGGCGUAAAGAGCUCGUAGGCGGUCUGUUGCGUCCGCUGUGAAAACUCGGGGCUUAACCCCGAGCCUGCAGUGGAUACGGGCAGACUAGAGGUAGGUAGGGGAGAAUGGAAUUCCCGGUGUAGCGGUGAAAUGCGCAGAUAUCGGGAGGAACGCCGGUGGCGAAAGCGACUGUCUGGGGUGCUUGUGACGCUGAGGCGCGAAAGCCAGGGGAUCAAACGGG
rnacentral:rRNA from 1 species